GGGGAGUUAUUUUGUAGCAGAGGAUAACCCUUGAACCCCUGAUCCUCCUGCCUCCACCCCUACACGCCCCCUCCCCCCAAGUAUUGGGAUUAAGGUGUGUGUCACCAUGCUCAGCUCAUUUUGUGUUUAUUUAUUUUAUAUCUUUAUUUUGUUGUAUGAACGUUUUGCUUUGUGUGUAUGUCUGUUUGCCAUAUGUGUGCCUGGACCCUGUGGAGGUCAGAAUAGGAUCUCAGAUCCCCUGGAACUGGAGUUCCAGGUGGCUGUGAUCUGUUGUGUAGGUGCUGGAAAUCAGAUCUGAGACCUGCAAGACCAGCCAAUACUCUUAAUCGCUGAGCCAUCUCUCCAGCUCUCUUACUUUGUGUUUUAAAAUGUGAGUGUACUUUUAGCUUUGUAAAUGGUAGAUGAAUAUUAAAUAUAUUUACUUUUAUUUCUUGCUUCCUUUAAUAUCUAAGGUAUUAUAUUCUUAUGCUGAAUUUAACUUGUAGAUCUCAAAGAUUCUUACAGUCAAGGCUGAAACUCUCUGAAGCCCAAGGUGCUUAGAAUUUUAAAUUUAUACUUACUUAUACCAGUCAUUUUCUUUCUUGUGUUAUAAAUAUUAGGGUCUAUCUUAAUGCCAUGACUGUUGUAGCAUUUGUAUAAUAUUAAUAAUGAUAGAAACCAAGAUGUAAUGUAGUACAUUAUUGAGAAGUACAAAUUGAUCAUCACUAACUUCAGUUUACAAAAUACUCCCAAAUCUGAAGCUGGAGCACUAAUCUGAUAGCCAUUGUGCAAAGUUCCACACUGCCCUCCCAUUACAGAGCACAGUCAAAGGCAGGUAGACACACUGAAACCAAAAGCUUUUCCUGUGAUAUCAUCAAGUCUGUUCGUUUCAGGUCUAUAUGAAAUAUAAAUGCAUUUUAUGUUUAUAGCUGCACUAGUCUCGAUUUUUGACCUGUCUCAUUAUGUGUACAUAAUGUCUAUAUUCUCUAGACUCUCCCUAAAAUCUAAACUCUGAAACACAUCUUCUCUAGGCAUCUUAGGGACAUGAAGCCUAUGAUCUGCUUGACACGUCCCCUAUCCUUCGAGCUCCUUCAUUUUGGUAAUGUGUAGAGCUAAUUAUCUUGUAUUGUUUCAGUUUUGCUUUUUGUGACAGGUUCUUGCUGUAUAGUCCAGGCUGGCUUUAAACAUGCUGCUUCAGUUUCCAUAGUGCUGGGAUUAUGGACAUGUGCUAUCAUGUCUAGCUGAACUAUUUUGGCCUUUAAAAAAAAAACCCUUUUUCUCUAUUUGGUCAUGGUUGUUAAAUAUAAAUGCUACUUGCCUUCUCUUUGGGAAUGUUUUUAAAAGCAGGGCUUUUAAUGUGUUAAUUUUAGAUUUUAAGAUUGAGUUUGUGAAGGAAAAUCUUUUUCUUUGUGUAUAUUUGUGUGUGCUUUUCUGAAUGUUUGCCAUAUAAGUGGAUGUCUGCACAGGCUGGGGGGGGCGGGGUACGGGAUGGAGCUGGAGUUACAGAUGGUUGUGAAACACCUGACAUGUGCAUGGUAAAAGUCAAACUUGGCUCCUCUGAAAGAAUAGGACGUCCUCUUAGCCACCUGACCAUCUUUGCAGCCCCUUGAUUUUCCUCUUAUUUUCAAGUAUAUAGGUGUUGGGCAAAUUGCUACACACACAGGUGUUUUGCAAGGUAGGAAGGUUGGUUUAGACAUUUGUCUGUUCAUAUUACAGUGAGGACUCAGGCACUCUUCUUCUUACUAAUAACCCUAAGGCAACAGAGAAUCUUAAGGAUUAUUACUGUUUUCCUUUCUUCUUUCAUUUUGAUAAUGGGGAUUCCCCAUAUGUACUGAUCAUGUGUUCGCCAGUGAGCUACAUCCCUAGUCCUAGACGCUGCUUUUUAUUAUAUAUUGCUGAAGUCCUAGAACUGUGAGUGGUAAGUCAUGCUCAGUUUUGUUUUGUUUUUCAAGACAGGGUUUCUCUGUAUAGCCCUGGUUGUCCUGGAGCUCACUUUGUAGACCAGGCUGGCCUCGAACUCAGAAAUCCGCCUGCCUCUGCCUCCCAAGUAAUCAUGCUCAUUUUAAUCCAGCCAUCAAGAGGCAGAGGCAGGAGGAUUGCAGAAGGUUGAGACCAGGCUGGUUUACAUACUGAGUUCCAAAUCUAUAGAGUGAGACCCUGUAUC
rnacentral:lncRNA from 1 species